rnacentral:piRNA from 1 species
GAUCCUGGGUUCAAAUCCCAGCGGGG